ensembl:lncRNA
CUGUCAGCUCCACAUUCAUGUAUUUUUGGUGUUGCUGUGGAUCUCAAUUGGAAGCAACUCCUUGCGCCAAUAUGUACCGCCAAUUGUAAUGUUUAUUUAUCUGGAGGAGAGAGUUAUUUUACAAGCAGUAACAAAGAAAGAUAAAUAUGAUCUGAGACUUGAUGAUCAGCAGCAUCUGUUGUUAUAGAGGUCUGAAACGCCAUGAUACAGCCAACGCGACGCCAAGAUAGCAGUGAGCCAGCAGUGACAUCUAGAGGCGGAAGCGGGAACUCAAACCAACGCACUUCCACCAUCCCAUCUAGUCUCAUAAUACCUCGUCAUGGCUGAACCAUAUCCACGAUGACUCCGGCCAUAUGGAAGGUAGAUAAAGCUCUGGUCGAGGCCAACAGGGGGAAGAUGACAACGGGCUGGUUUUGCCGAGUCAAAGCAUUAAGGGCUGGAGCAAGAGAAAUAGCCUUGACACUGCAGGCUCGUCGAAGCACCACGCUGCGCCACCUAAAUGCCAGCACAAUAAGCAAAGAGACAGGCGACGUUUCUCAUCACAGCAGGGGGGCUCGUUGGGGAGCGCCAUCUUGUUUGGCACUUGUCGGAGAAGGGGAGAUGCGGUGUCGGGGAAGAGCCUCACAGCAGUGGGACAAAGCUUUCAUUAAGGCUCAAAUUGAGGGAGAUCACCAGAAGCUCACCACGUCUGGGGAGCUGUUUAACUCAGGUUAUGAAGUCAGGUCGAAAGAAGAAAGCAAAAUAAACCGAAAGAAAAUCCACUCCCAGGCAGAGUGCUGCGGGAAGUGGAGAGGGGAGAGAACGGCACACGGUGAAAGAGCAGGGAGACAAUCCACUCUGCUGGGUGGACAUGGGGACAGCAUGCGUCGUGUUCCGGCCGGCGGUGCAUCACUUCACCGCUGUAUUUUUCAGAAUCUGCCUGCGACUCAUUGGAGAUUGGUUCAGCACCCCUACAUCAAUGACAGACGAGGUUUCUAAGAAGUCAC